CAGAUACUUUAUCUCAAUCUUUCAAACUGCUGUUUAAUCUUUAAAUCAAAUCAAGCAGUGUUUUGAACAUUAUAGCGAUGUAAAUAAACCACAAGACAACACGUAGUUCCUGAAUGAAGAAAUAAAGCCAAGGUAAUAUAUAUAUAAGACGAAAUGAAAUAUAUUUACAUUUAAGGAAUUGCAUAAGCAUAUCGAAAAUACAAACCCGCUUCAACCAUGACUAUAAACACAAAUAAUUUCUGAAGACCAGAAUUGAAAUUGUCCACAGAUAUUUCGUUAAGUUUCGCAAGAGUUAGACGUCUUUUAUACGCUUGCUUUAACUCAUAUAAUUUGACUAAAUUGUUGAUGACGGCUACAAUAUACAUGCUAACAUGGUGCUGUCUUAAGCGUUCUAUUUUCAGUUCAAACGACAUCUAACAUCUCUUCUCUUAUGUAUAUGUCUCAAGGUAUUGAUUCAACAAUGAUCUAAACACAAAAUGUCCUCAUACGACACUGGCUAUGAAGAUGAACUAUUUCAACAUCCCGUUGGCCAUACGUUGCAUUGUAGUAUAUGUCUGAAUGUUUUAAAACAUCCAGUCACGUGUCGACAUAAUGAGCAUCUGUUUUGUCGAGCUUGUAUCACCAUACAUCUCAUGAACUUUCAAACAUGUCCAUCGUGUAUGGAACCACUCACUGUCGAAUCACUGCGCCAAGCACCUCGAAACAUAACGAACUUACUUUCCGAAUUAAAGAUCCGCUGUCAAUUCUUCGAUCGUGGUUGCGGACAGUUUGUUGAAUUAGGAGAUCUCGAAAGGCAUGUCACUGACUGUGGGUUUGCCCCAGCAGUCUGCUCUAACGAAGGAUGCCAACUUGAG